rnacentral:lncRNA from 1 species
UUUGCAAUCAUAUUUUUUAUUUUUUUCACCAAAUAUUAAUAACGAACCUAUUGUUUUGGGCUAACUAGGUUAUGACGAAUUUAAAAUUAUAUACUCUGACGAUCUGGAUGUAAUCACUUUUUCUGCACCAAAUAUUAAUAGUGAACCUAUUGUUUUAGGUUAACUAGAGUAUGAUAAAUUUAAAAUCAUACACUGUGACAAUCUGGAUAAAACCAUCACAAGUUAGUGCGCGGGGAAUAUUCACCGGUGCACAUCCAUGACGAACAAAAAUUAUCGUCAUGGAUUCUGUUUGUUAGUGACGGUUUGUAAAUCCGACACCGCGAAUUCGUCAUGGAUUAACAAGUUUCUUGUACUGGAAUGUUUAGUGGGGUUAUUUAGUGAGGAAUGAUGUGGAUAACUUGCAUGAAGAAAUAAACCAUCUAGUGGGGCUU